CCCAGUGACCCGCUCCUGAUCCUUGGGGUGCUGCAUAAUGAAAUAGUACUGCUGUACCAAUCUAUGGCAACUGAGGCAAGUGAAUUUAUAAUGCUGGCCCUUUAAGGCACCCUUUUUAUGUCUUAUUUGGGAGUGUAAUGUGGUUGCAGACACCCACAAACCUGUCACUUUAAGCCCCAGGGAGAGUGAACCACUAUGUAGCUUCACAAUCUGAAAAGGUCUGUAACUAAGCAGGGUGAUAGGGCAAGGCACAAACAAGCUGUCAGCUUACCUAGUGUUCCCUCCGGAAUGGCAGCAGGGGGACACUAGAAAGCUUACAGCCCCAGCCCACACCCAAUCCGAACGCUCCCGCCCCUCAGGAGGCUGGGAGUGUCGGGGCAAAAGCGCGGCAAAACUGCAG